GAUGAACGCUGGCGGCGUGCCUAAUACAUGCAAGUCGAACGGAAGGACGAUAAUCUUGCGGCUCGGAUGUUAGCGGAAGACGUGUGAAUAACACGUGUAUAACCUACCUGUAAUACGGAUAAAACUUCGAAAAAGGGGAUAUAAUAGCAGAGAAUAUUUUGAACCACAGUGGGGAAAAGUAAGAUACGGUCGUUCGGGCUGUUGUAGAUGGAUACGCGCUUCAUCAUCUAGUUGGUAGGGUAAAGGCUUACCAAGGCUACGACGGAUAGCCGGCCUGAGAGGGUGACCGGCCACAUUGGUACUAAGGUACGGCCCAGUCUCCUACGGUAGGCAGCAGGGGGAAAUAUUGCACAGUGGGCGGAAGCCUGAUGCAGCAACGCCGCGUUCGUGAUAACGUCCUUCUGGUUGUAAACCGCUUUCGCCGUUGACGAAGCGUGAUUGACGGUAAUGAGUAAAGAAGCACCGGCUAACUACGUG
rnacentral:rRNA from 1 species